UCAUACGGGAGGCAGCAGUGGGGAAUUUUGGACAAUGGGCGCAAGCCUGAUCCAGCCAUCCCGCGUGAGUGAAGAAGGCCUUCGGGUUGUAAAGCUCUUUCGGCGGGGACGAAACGGUUCGGGUUAACAACCCGGACUAUUCCCGGUACCCGCAUAAGAAGCACCGGCUAACUACGUGCCAGCAGCCGCGGUAAUACGUAGGGUGCAGGCGUUAAUCGGAAUUACUGGGCGUAAAGCGUGCGCAGGCGGUUUUUUAAGACAGGUGUGAAAUCCCCGGGCUUAACCUGGGAAUUGCGCUUGUAACUGGCAGGGUAGAGUGUGGCAGAGGGGGGUGGAAUUCCACGUGUAGCAGUGAAAUGCGUACAUAUGUGGAGGAACACCGGUGGCGAAGGCAGCCCCCUGGGUUAACAAUGACGCUCAUGCACGAAAGCGUGGGGAGCAAACAGGAUUAGAUACCCUGGUAGUCCACGCCCUAAAAUAUUCAACUAGUUGUCGGGGAAGAAAUUCCUUUUAAAGAAGAUAACGAAUCUAAUAUCCAACUUUUUAAGAUUUUUUUUUA
rnacentral:rRNA from 1 species